rnacentral:rRNA from 1 species
UACAGAGGUGCCAAGCGUUGUUCGGAUUUAUUGGGCGUAAAGGGUGCGUAGGCGGUCAUACAAGUCGGACGUGAAAUCCCUCAGCUUAACUGGGGAACUGCGUCCGAUACUGGAUGGCUUGGAUUUGGGAGAGGGAUGCGGAAUUCCAGGUGUAGCGGUGAAAUGCGUAGAUAUCUGGAGGAACACCGGUGGCGAAGGCGGCAUCCUGGACCAAUAUUGACGCUGAGGAGCGAAAGCCAGGGGAGCAAACGGG